AUUGAACGCUGGCGGCAGGCCUAACACAUGCAAGUCGAACGAGUGGCGGACGGGUGAGUAAUGUCUGGGAAACUGCCCGAUGGAGGGGGAUCACUACUGGAAACGAUAGCUAAUCCCGCAUACCAUCGGAUGUGCCCAGACGGGAUUAGCUUGUGCGUCAGGUAACGGCCCACCUAGGCGACGAUCCCUAGCUGGUCUGAGAGGAUGACCAGCCACACUGGAACUGAGACACGGUCCAGACUCCUACGGGAGGCAGCAGUGGGGAAGAUUGCACAAUGGGCGCAAGCCUGAUGCAGCCAUGCCGCGUGUAUGAAGAAGGCUUUCGGAUUGUAAAGUACUUUCAGCGGGGAGGCGUUACCCGCAGAGGAAGCACCGGCUAACUCCGUGCCAGCAGCCGCGGUAAUAC
rnacentral:rRNA from 1 species